UAGGGCAGCCCCCACCCUACACCAGUACCCCCCCCCCACGCCCCACCAAUGUGCUACUCUCCUGAGGUGCUCACCUGCACCUGCUUCCUUCUGGCAGCCUUCAGGGCGGGGCUAGUGUUCCCACCACGGUGCACAGCACCUUGUGUGUUCAUUGCUGUUUUUCAUCUUGUUUCUGCCGAGGGUGCGAAGGCUCUUCAUGAGGCCCAGUGCUCAGGGAUGUUAGGGGUCACCUUUGAGUCAGCACUUGCUCUGCUCCCCAGGUCUCUGCUGUGGCCACCUGAGCCUGCAGGAUGUUUCACGGGAUCCCAGCCACUCCUGGCAUGGGAGCCCCUGGAAACAAGCCGGAGCUAUAUGAGGUAUGACAACAUGGCCGAGCUGUUUGCCGUUGUGAAGACGAUGCAGGCCCUGGAGAAAGCGUACAUCAAGGACUGCGUCACCCCCAACGAGUACACGGCGGCCUGCUCCCGGCUCCUGGUCCAGUACAAAGCUGCCUUCCGGCAGGUUCAGGGCUCAGAGAUCAGUUCCAUUGAUGAGUUCUGUCGCAAGUUCCGCCUGGACUGCCCGCUUGCCAUGGAGAGGAUCAGGGAGGACCGGCCCAUCACCAUCAAGGACGACAAGGGCAACCUCAACCGCUGCAUCGCCGACGUCGUCUCGCUCUUCAUCACGGUGAUGGACAAGCUGCGCCUGGAGAUCCGCGCCAUGGACGAGAUCCAGCCUGACCUGCGGGAGCUGAUGGAGACCAUGCAUCGCAUGAGCCACCUGCCCCCUGACUUUGAGGGCCGCCAGACGGUCAACCAGUGGUGCGCCAGAUGCUCUUUGACCUGGAGUCAGCCUACAACGCUUUCAACCGCUUCCUGCACGCCUGAGCCUGCGCCUCCCUGCGCCGAGAAGGUUCCGGCAUCCCCCGGACGUCUGCAAUGUCUCUCUGUCCACAGCAGCCCCGUCAAGUGUGUCUGUCCGUGGUCUCUAACCUGGAGCCCCGUCCCCACAAUAAAGAUGCUUUCUGACUUCCCUGCGGGUGUGGGCGGCUCUCCCCCAAGGUCCGCCUUGCGUGGCUGUCUGCCCUGGGGGCCCCGGGACCCUGCCGGCCUGGAGUGCGUAGGUUCUGCGCAGUAGUUUAGGGGCAGCAGCCUCCCUGGUGCGUGAGCCUCCCCCAGGCCAGGAUGGCUUGAGUCUGUUGGCCACUCCUGCCUCCCCACACCCCACCUGAGAGCUUUGGCAGCCUAUUGGAGGCCCGGCCAGCUGGGUGCAGAGGCUGCUGCACUGCCCAGGCUGGAAGGUAUGGCCAUAGCCCCACCUGCAUCUCUGUGCCCUGGAGGACACGUAGGUCAGCUCACCUCACACCUUUUGCUGCGGGGCCCAUCCUUGUUCGGUGGCUUACAGGAGCCCCAGCUGAUAACUCGUGGUGGGGUGUUCUCCUGCCCUCCGCUGAGUGUGUCCCUCAGGCCCAGCUGGUAGACACCAUGGGAGCCCCUGGGCUGGCCUUGCCCGAAGCCUGGUGGGGAAACAAACACCAGUUCCCAGGCACCUGCUACGAAGGCUGCUGCCGUCAGUGCUGAAAGCGGCCCUGCCCUGUGGUGUUCAUGUUCUCGUCCUCGUUCUCAUUCUCUGGGCGGACAGCAGCCAACCGGAAAGACGGUACCCAGGCUGCAGGGAGAGGGCCCAUCAGAUUCCGGGCAUGGACUGUGCUGGGCUGGAUGCAGCGAUAGUGAGCCUGGGCCUGAGCACCUGGGGGUCGGAAGAACUCACGUUGCAACAUGGACCCCUGGGGAGCCAGAGCUCUGAGGUGAUCACGGGGGCCUGUUGUGCACAUAGCUGGACGUCAAAAGCUGGAGUUCCAGAGAGAAGGGUGAAGGCCGGGGUCUCCUAUCCUGGGUGCCAGGAAUUCUGCCCGAGGUACAGGACUGGCACUUCUGUGUUUGGAGGCUGUGGAAAGAAACAUGAACACAGGAGCUAAAGAGCCGGCGACCAGAGCCUGUGGAGCAGACUGGGGCCCCAGGCUUGGAGGGCAGGGGUCCAGGUGGACUGAGACUGCAGAAGCACUGCUAAGUCUGACCCAUGAGGCUCUUGGUGACCUUCAGGAGGGCAUGGGUGGACGAGUGAGGCUGCAGGGGAGGCCACCCGACGAGUGCCAGAGUGCCCCAAUCUGCUGGCAGGGAGCUGAGGGGGCAGAGGGCCAGGGAGGGCUGUUUGGGUCUAUUUUAAUUUUUUUAUUGCAAUGAAAUAUACAAAACAUAAAAUUUGCACGAUAAACACA